rnacentral:rRNA from 1 species
UACGGAGGGGGCAAGCGUUGUUCGGAAUCACUGGGCGUAAAGGGCGCGCAGGCGGGUUUGUAAGUCUAAAGUGAAAUCCCUGGGCUUAACCCUAGGGUUGCGUUAGAUACUGUCAAACUUGAGUUCGGGAAAAGCAAGUGGAAUUCCUGGUGUAGCGGUGAAAUCCGUAGAUAUUAGGAAGAACACCAGUGGCGAAAGCGGCUUGCUAGAACGCAACUGACGCUUAGGCGCGAAAGCUUGGGGAGCAAACAGG